GGGCGUGUGGCUCAGUUGGUAGAGCGUCCGCUUAGCAUGUUUACUGGUGUGCGGAAGGUCCUGGGUUCGAUUCCCAGCUCGUCCA